rnacentral:rRNA from 1 species
UACGUAGGGGGCAAGCGUUGUCCGGAUUCAUUGGGCGUAAAGAGCGUGUAGGCGGCCAGGUAGGUCGGUUGUGAAAACUGGAGGCUCAACCUUCAGAGGUCGACCGAAACCAUGUGGCUAGAGUCCGGAAGAGGAGAGUGGAAUUCCUGGUGUAGCGGUGAAAUGCGCAGAUAUCAGGAAGAACACCCGUGGCUAAGGCGGCUCUCUAGUACGGUACUGACGCUGAGACGCGAAAGCGUGGGGAGCGAACAGG